rnacentral:rRNA from 1 species
CUACGGUGGGCAGCAGUGGGGAAUAUUGGACAAUGGGCGAAAGCCUGAUCCAGCCAUGCCGCGUGUGUGAAGAAGGCCUUCGGGUUGUAAAGCACUUUCAGUGGGGAAGAAAGCCUUGGGGCUAAUACCCUCGAGGAAGGACAUCACCCACAGAAGAAGCACCGGCUAACUCCGUGCCAGCAGCCGCGGUAAUACGGAGGGUGCGAGCGUUAAUCGGAAUUACUGGGCGUAAAGCGCGCGUAGGCGGUCUGAUAAGCCGGUUGUGAAAGCCCCGGGCUCAACCUGGGAACGGCAUCCGGAACUGUCAGGCUAGAGUGCAGGAGAGGAAGGUAGAAUUCCCGGUGUAGCGGUGAAAUGCGUAGAGAUCGGGAGGAAUACCAGUGGCGAAGGCGGCCUUCUGGACUGACACUGACGCUGAGGUGCGAAAGCGUGGGUAGCAAACAGGAUUAGAUACCCGAGUAGUC